UCUCAAUAGAAAAUUCAUAACUCUCUCAAUAAUAAUCCAAUCAACAUGAGAUUUUUUCUUCCAUGAUCCUUGUAAUGUCCUAUUUUUUUUAAUGAUUUUUAAUAAAUUUGUGCACGGUUGGGAAAAAUAAUUGCCUAGGGUUUGUUUUCAUAUGCCAUUUGUUGCACCAUGCUUACUAUUUUGAUCAUGAAAUGAUGAUGCUUAAUUGGAAAUUCUUGAGAUUUUACAUGUGUGUUGUAGACUCAUUCCUGGUCAUUUUGG
rnacentral:lncRNA from 1 species